CUUGUCUAGACCAAUGUCUCUUAUACAACCACUGUGAGGGUCGCCAAAUUUGGUAGGUGACUUGGCUCAGGAUCUCCAAUAUCCAUCAAAUCUGAUGCCUUCGCUGACCUCCAUACAGCCGGCUCCAUCCUGCCCUCACACAGCUCUUUUGAAAUCUGUGCACGAAGGUCUCCAGACAUGAACCUCUUGGAACGGCCAGUGUGCAGGGAGAUAUCAGUGUCUUCGAUGGAACACUCGAGAACCAUUGGGCUGUUGACUGUUGGUUCUCUGGCACAUGUCAUUUUAACAUGGCCUUGACACUCUUUACAGAAGCCCUUAAUGUCUAUGUAGUUGCUGGUUCUAGAUGAAUAAACUUUUGCUCUCUGGAACACAAA